rnacentral:rRNA from 1 species
AUGGGAGAGUGCCUCCCUGGAUCUUCACGUCCCCGAGCAGGAGUUCUGCGCCCGUGCCCGAUCCAGUGCUGCCGGAGAAUCAACCACCACCGUGCCUCCCUCUUCCUUUCUCCUUCCCUUCUGUGCUCUCUCCAUCUCUCUCAACUCACUCUUUGCUCUCUCGGGAAUCAUCUAACUCAGAUCAUUAAUAUUGCUAAGCAGCUCCUCCGCCGCCGCUGUGGCUCCAUUUGGGCAGGCCGUCGCAGCUCCGGGUGGUGCGCGUGA